AUGAACGCUGGCGGCGUGCCUAAUACAUGCAAGUCGAGCGAACAGACGAGGAGCUUGCUCCUCUGACGUUAGCGGCGGACGGGUGAGUAACACGUGGAUAACCUACCUAUAAGACUGGGAUAACUUCGGGAAACCGGAGCUAAUACCGGAUAAUAUAUUGAACCGCAUGGUUCAAUAGUGAAAGACGGUUUUGCUGUCACUUAUAGAUGGAUCCGCGCCGCAUUAGCUAGUUGGUAAGGUAACGGCUUACCAAGGCAACGAUGCGUAGCCGACCUGAGAGGGUGAUCGGCCACACUGGAACUGAGACACGGUCCAGACUCCUACGGGAGGCAGCAGUAGGGAAUCUUCCGCAAUGGGCGAAAGCCUGACGGAGCAACGCCGCGUGAGUGAUGAAGGUCUUCGGAUCGUAAAACUCUGUUAUUAGGGAAGAACAAAUGUGUAAGUAACUAUGCACGUCUUGACGGUACCUAAUCAAAAAGCCACGGCUAACUACGUG
rnacentral:rRNA from 1 species